rnacentral:lncRNA from 1 species
AAAAAAUAAUUCGAAAAUCACUAUUUGAAAGAGCAGUUUUUAACUGCAAAUUUUUAAUCAUUGAUAAUGUGCACAUUCGGAGGUCCUAAUUCUUUGGUCCUCCUAAUUGGUGGACCUUUUUUCAUGUCACCCAGUCUUUGUUUUGGCUUCUCUUUGUUUGAACAUAUGGUCCCAGCUAUCUUGUCAAACGCGUGUAAAAUGAACAUACAGUUAAAGACUUUGAAUCUGAUGAAAAAAGAAAGACAUCAUUGUGGUCCCAGCCAUCUUGUCAAACGCGUGUAAUAUGAACAUACAGUUAAAGACUUUGAAUCUGAAGAAAAAAGAUGCCAUCAUGUGGUUCAAUAGUAACUUUGUGAUCUGCCUUUCCCGUUUUACAAAGUUUACGUGUAAAAUGAACAUCAGAAUGAUAAAGGUUUCGAGUACUUGUGCCAUUUUUAACAAAAUUUCAAAAUUAACCCUUUAUGUUUCCUUUAAUAGCAAUGAAGCUACGUGCUAAAAAGUUUGCCGUAUAGUUUUUUUAAAGCUUUCAAAAUUUAUAUUUUCAAAAUGGAGCUGGCUAAGUUACAGAUUCUGUAACAUACAGAUCCAACUUAGCCAGCUCCUGAUUGGUUAGCUAGCUACCAAACAAAAACAAUUGCACGCUUUUUCUCCAUAUGCAGGACAGGUGUGGUGCAUGCAUUGGGUGCGUAUGUUACAGAAUCUGUAAGGUAGACAGGUCCUUUCAAAAUGUAACAGUUAUACUUUUCUUAGCUUUUUCUUCUGAGCAAAUUGAUAGUGGCCAACAUUAUAUUUUGAAAAUGACAAAUCAAAUUAAGGGGAAAAAAAGGAGAAAAAGAAGAAAGAUGAUGUCCUUGUUUUGAGUCUGAACUUGUCCUCAUAUGUUUGAAUUUACAACUCUCAGGGCUAGGUGAAGCUCGCAUAUAAAGGCAAGCCAAGGAAAAAUAGGAAAUUGCCUUCUCACUAGUAGAAAUGAGUACCCACUCUGUUUAUUUUUCAUCCAUUUUUCUUUUUAAUCAUACCGUCGCAAGUUGCAGCCUUUGAGGAGGGAGAUCGUGCUGCCCUGCAGGCCUUUAAGUCAAUGAUUUGUCAUGGCCCUCAAGGAAUCGGGAACGCAUGGAAUGAUACUAGCCAUUUCACGGAAUUGAAGGGCAUUACAUGGGGUCGCAGGCACAGAAGUCACAACCCUAGACUUGAUGUCAAAAGCAUGAUUCUCAUUUGUGUAAAUUUUGAGUCAUUAAUUCAUUAAGUUGUUAAUCUUAUUUUUUUAUCUUUCUACUUAAUCUAAAAAGAAUUAAUAUUAUCAUUUAUUGAUAUUCUCCAAAACAUCCUUAUCCAAUUAAUUAAUUUUCAUCUCUAUAAAAUUUAAUAAUUAGAAUUAUUAUCCAUCUCUAUAACUUGUGAUAAUAUAGUAAUUUACUCUUAUUAUUUUUGUCUUUUUAUUUUCUUCAAAUUAGCAUUAUUUAUCUUCAUAACUUUUUGAAUUAAACUACAAUGAAAUUGAUUAACAUAUACUGAUAAAGAAUAUUAGAGAAUUAUAUUUAAUUGAGCAUGAUUUAUGUUACGAUAAUUUAUUAUCUUAUUUAUAUUCCUUGAGAUGUUUAUUAUUUAUUUCAUAUUUCUAAUCUGAAAGGGGACAAAUGUAAACAUACUAGUUUUUAGAUUUUUUAAGUUGAAAAAAUAAUUUGACACAUACUUUUUAGUCAUUCACAAAAAUAAACAUAUUAUUCAGGUUCUGACAUUUAAACUACUCAAAAUUAAGACUAAUACAGGUGUGUUAAUAAAAAAGAAAACUUAAAUCCAUAACUCAUAAAUCAUUGAUGAUUCAAACAACUAAAAAUUAUAAUACUAAACUUUCUCUGAAGUCUUAGUUAAUUAAUAGGAUGCUUAAAUUAAAGAAUCCGGUGUUAAAAAGGUAAAUUUGUAAGCUUUUGUUUGCUUUAUUUUCCUUAUUUAUUAUUUUAGUUUGAAACAAUUAUUUUCUUCAAUUCAUUGUUUCUUGUAACAACUUGUUGAUUACCAACUCAUUACAAUUUUAUAACAAUUUUUAAAAUAAUAAAAAAUAUGUGAAAGCCAGGCCAAUAACGGUCCGACCCAAGCCCGACCCUAAUGCUUCUGCUUACCUGGACUUGAAGCCUGGACCCGCAAUUUGCCAUUGUUAUUUGUAACCACACUAAAUGAUAAAAUUGACUUAAAUUUUUUCAUUCUCAUGGUGCUAUUUUGCUUUCAUAUAUGGCUUAACCACGAAAAGAUAAUUAAUUUACAUGAAUUCCAAUAGACUUGAUUGUGAAAAAUAUAUCAGCAAAAUCCAAAAGUUUGAAGCCUAAUCCAACCAUUAACAGUGCUUCAACAGGUGUUGAUGACAAAGAAAACAAGGAGAUGAGUUAGGAAAAAAAAUCAAAGAAAAUGAUCAUACAGUGAAUAGAUUCAGGGAUUUUUUUUUCUUUUUGGUCUCGCAAUUUACGUUAUGGAUAUUUUUAAGAAUCCAAAAUAUUUUUUGAAAAUAAGUUUUUUAAAUAAUUUAAUGAGUUUCAAUAGCUCCAUCCGUAAAAAAAAAAAGUAAAAUUUAAAUUAUUCUUUUAUCACCAAUGUUUUUUAAAAUUUAAAUUUACGUAAUUAAUUAAAUAAAAUUAUUUAAAAAUCACUAUUGAAAAAAGCAGUUUUUAACCGUAAAUUUUUAAUCAUUGAUAAUGUGCACAUUCGGAGGUCCAAAUUCUUUGGUCCUUCUAAUUGGACCUUUUUUCAUUUCACCCAGUCUUUGUUUUGGCUUCUGUUGGUCUAAACUUAUGGUCCCAGCCAUCUUGUCAAACGCGUGUAAAAUGAACAUACAGUUAAAGACUUCGAAUCUGAAGAAAGAAAGAUGCCAUCAUGUGGUUCAAUAAUAACUUUAUGAUCUGCCUUUCCCGUUUUUCAAAUUUUACGUGUAAAAUGAACAUCAGAAUGAUAAAGGUUUCGAGUACUUGUGCCAUUUUUAACAAAAUUUCAAAAUUAACCCUUUAUGUUUCCUUUAAUAGCAAUGCAGCAGCGGGCUAAAACGUUUGCUGUACAGCUUUUUCAUAGCUUUCAAAAUGUAACAGUUAUAUUUUUCUUAGCUUUUUCUUGUGAGCAAAUUGAUAGUGGCCAACAUUUAUAUUUCGAAAAUGACAAAUCAAAAUUUUUUUUAAAUACUGUUAUACUGUUACUGAUAUAUACAUCAGGUAUUACAAUUAAUAUUUACAAACAGAUUCUAUAAUUGAAACCUUUUUCGUGGCAUGUACUCUUUUGAAGCGCUGCCCAAAUUCUUUAAAUCUUCUCAAAUAUUUGAGAGUUGUCUAUUCCACGC